AGAAUCAACGCUGGCGGCGUGCCUAACACAUGCAAGUCGAACGAGAAAGUGGAGCAAUCCACGAGUAAAGUGGCGCACGGGUGAGUAACACGUGACUAACCUACCCUUGAGUGGGGGAUAACCUAGGGAAACCUGGGCUAAUACCGCAUGAUACCUACGGGUCAAAGGAGCAAUUCGCUUAAGCGAGGGGGUCGCGGCCGAUUAGUUAGUUGGCGGGGUAAUGGCCCACCAAGACGAUGAUCGGUA
rnacentral:rRNA from 1 species